AUACGGAGGGUGCAAGCGUUACUCGGAAUUACUGGGCGUAAAGGACGCGUAGGCGGUUUAGAAAGUCAGAUGUGAAAGCCUAUGGCUUAACCAUAGAACUGCAUUUGAAACUUCCAAACUAGAGUGGGGGAGAGGUCAGUGGAAUUAGUGGUGUAGGGGUAAAAUCCGUAGAGACCACUAGGAAUACUCAUUGCGAAGGCGACUGACUGGAACUUAACUGACGCUGAGGCGUGAAAGCGUGGGGAGCAAACAGGAUUAGAAACCCUAGUAGUCC
rnacentral:rRNA from 1 species